rnacentral:rRNA from 1 species
UGGUGGAGUGAUUUGUCUGGUUGAUUCCGUUAACGAACGAGACCUCGACCUGCUAAAUAGUGUUCCGAAGCCUUCGGGCUUCGAGUACGGCUUCUUAGAGGGACUAUCGGUGAUUAGCCGAUGGAAGUUCGAGGCAAUAACA